AUGGCUGGCGACUGGUCCUCAUCGUCGUCGACGGCGGCCAAGGGCGUGGCGAGAAGGCUGGCUCGGCACCACCAGGCCGUGCUCGGAUUCCUGCUCGGUUUCUUCGUCAGCGUCGUACUCUACACCACGGUGUCCGGCCUGCUCCGGUUCACGAAUACCCUUGUCAUUCUACAGCCCACGCCGGGCGAGCGUACCGAACAAAGUGCCAGGACUGCUCCUCCUCUAGUGUUUUCGACGCCUAAUCAUUCUACUGAAGUAAAUGAUGCUGGUGGCAAGUUGGACGAAGUGCUCAUUCGGCAAGAACUCGGUCAAGAGGGUGAUGGGAAUAAUAGAAGCAACGUCAAACAUGGUGCUCCACGCAAGCCCAUCUGCGACCUGUCGGACCCUAGGUAUGCCAUCUGCGAGAUCUCUGGGGACGCCCGUGCCAUCGGCGCCAACUCUACCGUGUACCAUGUCCCGCCUGCCGAUGAGCACGGCCCUGACGGCCUGGAAUGGGCCAUCCGAGACCAGUCUCGCAAGGACCUCGGAUACAUCGACAAGGUGAAUGUCAAGACCCUGAGCGCCGCCCAGUCGCGGGUGGCGCCGGAGUGCACCUCCCGGCACGCUGUCCCGGCCAUCGUGUUCGCCAUGAACGGGCUCACGUCCAACCCAUGGCACGACUUCAGCGACGUUCUGAUCCCGCUCUUCAUCACCACUCGCGCCUAUGAUGGCGAGAUCCAGUUCCUCGUCACCGAUCUCCGGCCGUGGUUUGUGGACAAGUACCGCCUCAUCCUCACCAACCUAUCACGCUAUGACAUCGUUGACUUCAACAAGGACACUGGUGUCCGGUGCUACCCACACAUCGUAGUCGGCCUACGCAGCCACGGCGACCUCAGCAUCGACCCGGCCCGCGCGCCGCACAACUACACAAUGCUGGACUUCCGCAUGUACAUCCGAGACGUCUUCUCACUGCCGCCAGAAGACCAAGGAAUCCCGUACAAGGAGGCUAACAAGAAGAACAAAAAUGGUGGCACUAGCAUGGAGGAACAAAAGCCUCGCCUCAUGCUCAUCAACCGCGCCGGGAUCAGGAAGUUCGUCAACCUUCCAGAGAUCUCCGCGGCGGUGCAGGCUGCCGGGUUCGAGGUGCUGAUCAUGGAGCCGCUCCGUGACAUGAGGCUCGAGGAAUUCUCUCGGCAGGUGGACUCGUGCGACGUGCUGAUGGGCGCGCACGGGGCCGCGCUCACAAGCUUCUUCUUCCUCCGCACCAACGCGGUCAUGCUACAGGUGGUGCCAUGGGGCUUAGAGAGGGAGGCUAUGAGUUACUUCGGCGUGCAUGCCAAGGACAUGAUGUUGCAGGACAUCGAGUACAGCAUCACCGUGGAGGAGAGCACGCUGUAUGAGAAGUAUGGCAAAGACCACCUGGCAGUACGUGACCCAGAGGCACUACGUAAGCAGGGGUGGCAGUUGUUAAGGAAGUACUUGUGGGACGAGCAGGACAUCAGGCUUAACGUCACCAGAUUUACUCCCACUCUACACCAGCUGCUUUGA
rnacentral:rRNA from 1 species